UUGCCGGCGACCGGCGCACGGGUGAGUAACGCGUAUCCCACUUUCCGCUUACUCGGGGAUAGCCUUUCGAAAGAAAGAUUAAUACCCGAUGGUAUCUUAAGCACGCAUGAGAUUAAGAUUAAAGAUUUAUCGGUAAGCGAUGGGGAUGCGUUCCAUUAGGCAGUUGGCGGGGUAACGGCCCACCAAACCUACGAUGGAUAGGGGUUCUGAGAGGAAGGUCCCCCACAUUGGAACUGAGACACGGUCCAAACUCCUACGGGAGGCAGCAGUGAGGAAUAUUGGUCAAUGGGCGAGAGCCUGAACCAGCCAAGUAGCGUGAAGGAUGACGGCCCUACGGGUUGUAAACUUCUUUUGUGCGGGAAUAAAGGAGCCUACGUGUAGGCUUUUGCAUGUACCGUAACGAAUAAGCAUCGGCUAACUCCGUGCCAGCAGCCGCGGUAAUACGGAGGAUGCGAGCGUUAUCCGGAUUUAUUGGGUUUAAAGGGAGCGUAGACGGGUUUUUAAGUCAGCUGUGAAAGUUUGGGGCUCAACCUUAAAAUUGCAGUUGAAACUGGAGACCUUGAGUACGGUUGAGGCAGGCGGAAUUCGUGGUGUAGCGGUGAAAUGCUUAGAUAUCACGAAGAACUCCGAUUG
rnacentral:rRNA from 1 species